AAAUAGUGUUCCAAUGUCCGAUGGGAAUAAAAUAAAUGAUGUCCACUGUAUGACGAUGUUCAUCAUCAACAUUAUAAUUUGUUUAACAUCAGUUUUAGUAGUAAUGAAAAUAAAUAAUUCACUUAGCUAGGUAAUUCUCUACAUGUCAAACAAAUUAUUGCCCAAUACGUAAGUAUUUUCAUUGAAGAAGAAAAACAAAAUUCAUCAUCAUCAUCAUUC